rnacentral:lncRNA from 1 species
UAUGACCAUUGUGAGUUACUGUAUGUUUUGAUCUAUGGCUUUGAGCGAAGUGGAGGAGUCCGCUAUUGAUAAGUUGAUUUGACGGUUAUGUGUUGUAUUGGUUUUUGUUUGAGGUAUUGUAAAUGAGUUAUGUUCUGCAGAGGGUGAGAUCGAGGAUGACUUGAUUAAAGGAAUUUCUAGGUACGAGUUGUAUUAGGCUUUAUGAGUCUAUGAGAAUCACGGAACAAUUUGAGUUGUUAAUAGUGAAGGAUGUAAUGUGCAUGGAGCAGGAAUUUAUUUGGUUGCAUUAAUGUGGAGUUACUUCCUUGGGUGUUGGAAUGCUAAUGGGGCACAAGUCAUUCGAUCUGUUUGGUUAGUCUAAUUGAGAUUUAAGCAGAUUGGAUGGCUCUCGAGAAUGGUUCCAAUGAAUUUAAGAUUUAUACGUGGCAAUUGGAAUCUUCAGGAUGUGUCUAUGGCUAGAAACUGAGAUUUAUAGUGGAGGAUUUCAGGACUUGUGGAAUUUCUAUAUCAUUAUGAAUUCUAUAUAUCAGUAUCAGGAAGGCGAAGAUAACAUCUUUAGAUUUGCAGAAGGUCUUUUCAGAGCGGGUAUCUCGGUUAUGGUACUUUUGGGGUGCUUAAGAAGGAAUACAAUGGUUUAUGAGCCUUAUGGCAGUGUGGUUUAUGCUAAAGUUCGUGGGAGAGGUUUUAGUUAAGGAUAUUAGCGUACUAG